AUUGAACGCUGGCGGCAUGCCUAACACAUGCAAGUCGAACGGGGCAGCAAUGCCUAGUGGCGGACGGGUGAGGAAUACGUAGGAAUCUGCCCUUAAGUGGGGGAUAACCAGGGGAAACCCUGACUAAUACCGCAUGAUCUCUUCGGAGCAAAGAGGGGGACCGCAAGGCCUCUCGCUUCUGGAUGAGCCUACGUCUGAUUAGCUAGUUGGUAGGGUAAAGGCCUACCAAGGCGACGAUCGGUAACUGGUCUGAGAGGAUGAUCAGUCACACCGGAACUGAGACACGGUCCGGACUCCUACGGGAGGCAGCAGUGGGGAAUAUUGGACAAUGGGCGCAAGCCUGAUCCAGCAAUGCCGCGUGUGUGAAGAAGGCCUUCGGGUUGUAAAGCACUCUAGCCUGGAAAGAAAAAACUUUGGUUAACACCCAAAGUCUUGACGGUACCAGGAGAAUAAGCACCGGCUAACUCUGUGCCAGCCGCCGCCGUAAUAC
rnacentral:rRNA from 1 species